rnacentral:tRNA from 1 species
GUGGGAGUGCCGGAGUGGUCAAACGGGCUGGGCUUAGGACCCAGUGGCUUAGUGCCUACUAAGGUUCGAACCCUUACUCCCACA